GGCGAUGUAGCUCAGCUGGUUAGAGCGCGCGCUUCAUAAGCGUGAGGUCGUGAGUUCAAGUCUCACCAUCGCCACCA
rnacentral:tRNA from 4 species